CGUAUAUAAAAAAUUAUAAAAAUAUUCAGAAAUUAAAACUCUCGCCAGAUCUCAUAUAGAUACAACCUAAAAUCGUGUCCAUAAAAGUUUCUUUUUAAUAAAGAAGCCUAAUUAAAGAAAUUUCGAUCAACAAACAGCAAGAGCACAGUAGCAAACCGAUUCGAUUGCACAGUACUCCCGAUUUGAGUUUCAUGGCUUAGUUGGAAUUCUCAAUAAGAUUGAAAAAGAGGAUGAAAUUGCAACGAGAUGGUGGAGAAAGGGUUGAAAAAGAUAGAAUAAGCAACUUGCCAGAAGACGUUAUUCAUCGCAUACUCUCCUUCCUUGACAUGACAUAUGCUGUCCAGACUUGUAUUUUGUCUCGUAGAUGGAAGGAUACUUGGACUUCAAUGCCGUAUAUCAACUUAAAAUAUAGAGGCAUGUUUAGAACCGUCUAUGAGUAUGAAAAAUUCAUGGCGCAUGUACUAACUCACCGCAACAAUGGUACAGAAGUUUUUGGAGCUGAGCUCAGAUUCUAUGGGAGAUCUAUUGAUCGUCAUAUACUUACGUGUGUUAACACACUUGCAUAAUGCUAGGAAACUGGAUAUGAUAUGGUCCAUUAGAGAGGAGCUCCCAAAAUAUAUUUUUAGUUCCCGCACCUUUAAACAUCUUACACUUGAAGACGCCUAUAUAUGGUGAAAUUACUUACCAGAAGCAGCCUGGGAUUUUCCAGCUUUAGAAACUCUGAAAUUAAGUAAUAUAAGGUUUCAUGAUCCCGGAAAUACGAGUACUGUCAAUCUUUUUUCCAAGUGUGUCAACUUGAAAGAUAUUACUUUACAUAAAAUUCAAAUGCUUGGAAAUGAGAUAUUCAACGUUUGUGCACCACAACUCCUGAAUCUCACAAUUACAAGUUCUGCCACCUUUCCGGAAGUUUUCAAUGUGGUUGCUCCUCAGCUAAAGAAUCUAACAGCAACACUCUUCGCCCUGUAUUUUUUAUUUCGAUGGGGACAGUGUUAGCUUUCUGCCGCUCUCCACAGAUGGCUUCAAUGCUCUGGAGAAAGUGAACCUCUCUUUUGGAGGUAUAAAAAAGCAGAGGCAUGGUUCCAAGCUACUCAAUUUGUUCCAGAUAAUCCGCAAGGCCAAAUUUCUGAAUCUUGAUGUGGACAUUAUUGAGUGCUUGAAGAUAAAUGCAAAGUUGUUGAAGCAAAAUGAGCAUAUAGCAACAAUACCCGUUCAAAUAAAAAACUACUUCCUUAAGAACUCUCCAAGUGCUACUUUCAUAGUGGAAUCAUCAGGUGCCAUAGAAGAGAUCAAGGGAGCAGGUACCUAAUGGCACAAUGCCAAUGAAGGUAGCCAAGUUAGUCAGAUGCUUCUGGUGCCGAUAUUCCUCUUGCACCAAGUCCUUUUAGCCAAUGUCGCCACAUCCUAAAGCCUUGCUUGGUUAGAAUGCAACACUGCAAUUCAACCUUAAAGGAGCUCUUGCGAGUAGUUUUAAAUAUUACACUAUGCUUUUAUACAUUGCUUUGGAUAAAAUUGGUUGAAGUAAUUUAUUUUUUCCUGUUACAGUGUCUUUGCUUUCUAUUUGAUAGUAUUGAAUGCAAGUGGUUUUAAAGAAGAAUAAUAAAAGUGAAAAAUGAUUGUUAGAUGAAAA